AUUCAAGUCACCUUGGGAUCUUAUUAAAAUGUAGCUUCUGAGAGAGUAGGAGUGGGAUGAGGGCCUGAGAUUCUGCAUUUCUAACUAGCUCCCAGGUGAUUCCAGU
rnacentral:pre_miRNA from 1 species